ensembl:miRNA
UCGGGUGACCAGUUGUCCUGGUUUGCCUGGGACUGAGGGGUUUCCUGGAAUUCAGGGAUUUCAGUGCUAAAACCAG